rnacentral:tRNA from 1 species
GCCGGGGUGGCGGAACUGGUAGACGCGCCGGACUCAAAAUCCGGUUCUCGCAAGAGAGUGCGGGUUCGAUUCCCGCCCCCGGCA